UAGGGGUCCUGAGAGGGAGAUCCCCCACACUGGUACUGAGACACGGACCAGACUCCUACGGGAGGCAGCAGUGAGGAAUAUUGGACAAUGGGAGCAAUCCUGAUCCAGCCAUGCCGCGUGCAGGAAGACUGCCCUAUGGGUUGUAAACUGCUUUUAUACAGGAAGAAAAAGGUGUACGUGUACACUGUUGACGGUACUGUAAGAAUAAGGAUCGGCUAACUCCGUGCCAGCAGCCGCGGUAAUACGGAGGAUCCAAGCGUUAUCCGGAAUCAUUGGGUUUAAAGGGUCCGUAGGCGGGAUGAUAAGUCAGUGGUGAAAGUCUGCAGCUCAACUGUAGAAUUGCCAUUGAUACUGUUGUUCCUGAGUUAUUGUGAAGUGGUUAGAAUGAGUAAUGUAGCGGUGAAAUGCAUAGAUAUACU
rnacentral:rRNA from 1 species